AAGUGGGAAGGAAGAAGAGUGCCAUUUCUCCAAACGCCAAAAUAGAGAAAUCCGCCAUCCUUGAUCUCCACAUCUCCUGCUAGCAUCCUGUCGCUAUCUAUGCUACAUCUCCGGCCAACGAAGUGCCGACUACCCAAUAAGACCUCAAGAAAGGAAAUUAUGGAGAAUGGAAAUAAUGAUUUGUUGCUGGAAUUUGAUAACGAGAACAUCACAGAGAAUUUGAAUAUAUUGGACAACGAAAAUGUAGGAGAUGUUGUGACUGUGCCUGAAGUUACUUGUUUAUGAAUGUUUGUAUUGGGAGAUGUAAUUAUUACAAUUUGAAGUUACUUGUUUAUGAAUAUUUAAUGUUGAAUAGCUAAAAUUGGCAAGCUUUGUGUUGUUGCUGAUAUCUGUUCAGAUAA